GGUGGCUCAGUGGUAGAGCGCUUGCUUUGCAAGCAUGAGGCCCUGGGUUUGAUUCCUCAGUACCA
rnacentral:tRNA from 1 species